UACGUAGGGUGCAAGCGUUAAUCGGAAUUACUGGGCGUAAAGCGUGCGCAGGCGGCUAUGCAAGACAGAUGUGAAAUCCCCGGGCUCAACCUGGGAACUGCAUUUGUGACUGCAUGGCUAGAGUACGGCAGAGGGGGAUGGAAUUCCGCGUGUAGCAGUGAAAUGCGUAGAUAUGCGGAGGAACACCAGUGGCGAAGGCGGUUGCCUGGGGCUUUGCUGACGCUGAUGCGCGAAAGCGUGGGGAGCGAUCCGG
rnacentral:rRNA from 1 species